UCUGAUAUUAAUAUUGAAGGCAUUUCUACCGUCAAUAUUAAUUCAAUAACUGCUUCUAAACCAAAAACUUCACCACCAGACAUCUUAGAGCGGGAGUCUGACCUGAAAUCACAGAGAAAUGAACAACAUCAACAAUCAGGAUUACAGCUUUCUGUGACGUUUUCCUCAGCAGUGAGCAGUGACCUACAGUCUACACAGCCCAGUGAAGUGAAACAUAUUAUAUGCUUGGAAUCAUUUAUCCUGUACAACAUGUCAACAUAACUGAAGGAAUUACUCAUCUAAUAAAGUAACUUGUUUAUGUGGUUUAAAAACUGCUCAGUAACCAACUGUACUGUACUGUAUCCAUAUUUCAUAGUCUGAUAUUUUAACUUGAAAGUAUUAUUACCAAAGUUAACCUUCAGAUAUUUGUAAAAGCUGCAAUUAUGUUUUACGUUUUAUUUGAUAUAUUAUGAUGUCAUUUAUCUUCCAACAUAAUAAAGUUUGAAUGUGAGACAGUAA